rnacentral:rRNA from 1 species
AUUGAACGCUGGCGGCAGGCUUAACACAUGCAAGUCGAGCGGGGGCUUCGGUCCUAGCGGCGAACGGGUGAGGAAUGCUUGGGAAUCUGCCCAGUAGCGGGGGAUAACGUUUCGAAAGGAACGCUAAUACCGCAUACGCCCUACGGGGGAAAGGGGGGGAUCUUCGGACCUCUCACUAUUGGAUGAGCCCAAGUCGGAUUAGCUAGUUGGUGAGGUAAAGGCUCACCAAGGCGACGAUCCGUAGCUGGUCUGAGAGGAUGAUCAGCCACACUGGAACUGAGACACGGUCCAGACUCCUAAGGGAGGCAGCAGUGGGGAAUAUUGGACAAUGGGCGAAAGCCUGAUCCAGCCAUGCCGCGUGUGUGAAGAAGGCCUUCGGGUUGUAAAGCACUUUAAGCGAGGAGGAAUGGCUCCGGGUUAAUACCCUUGAGCAUAGACGUUACUCGCAGAAUAAGCACCGGCUAACUCUGUGCCAGCAGCCGCCGUAACAC